AGGGUUCGAUUCUGGCUCAGGAUGAACGCUGGCGGUAUGCCUAACACAUGCAAGUCGUACGAGAGUUUUUAACUCUAGUGGCGGACGGGUGAGUAACACGUGAGAAUUUGCCUUUAGGAGGGGGAUAACAAUCGGAAACGAAUGCUAAUACCCCAUAUGCUUUCGAGUGAAAUGGAUUUAUAUUUAUCCGCCUAGAGAGAAGCUCGCGGCUGAUUAGCUUGUUGGUAAGGUAAGAGCUUACCAAGGCGACGAUCAGUAUCUGGUUUGAGAGGACGAUCAGACACACUGGAACUGAGACACGGUCCAGACUCCUACGGGAGGCAGCAGUGGGGAAUUUUCCGCAAUGGGCGAAAGCCUGACGGAGCAAUACCGCGUGAGGGAAGACUGCCUAUGGGUUGUAAACCUCUUUUUUCAGGGAGGAAUCAAUGACGUGUACCUGAAGAAUAAGCAUCGGCUAACUCCGUGCCAGCAGCCGCGGUAAGACGGAGGAUGCAAGUGUUAUCCGGAAUCACUGGGCGUAAAGCGUCUGUAGGUGGUUUAAUAAGUCAACUGUUAAAUCUUGAGGCUCAACUUCAAAAUCGCAGUCGAAACUAUUAGACUAGAGUAUAGUAGAGGUAAAGGGAAUUUCCAGUGGAGCGGUGAAAUGCGUAGAUAUUGGAAAGAACACCGAUGGCGAAAGCACUUUACUGGGCUAUUACUAACACUCAGAGACGAAAGCUAGGGUAGCAAAUGGGAUUAGAUACCCCAGUAGUCCUAGCCGUAAACAAUGGAUACUAGAUGUUGAACAGAUCGACCUGUGCAGUAUCAAAGCUAACGCGUUAAGUAUCCCGCCUGGGAAAGUAUGCUCGCAAGAGUGAAACUCAAAGGAAUUGACGGAAUCA
rnacentral:rRNA from 1 species